rnacentral:lncRNA from 1 species
AUGGGCUCACUCCAGCUGUCCCUGCCUGGUUCUCUGGAGUUGGCACUCCUACCUUCAAUGCAUCGAUUUGAAUCAUUAUUUCCAAACCCAGACGUCUGACUGCCAGCUGUGUCUACUUAUUUUUACUAUCCCUUAUACAGGCUGUUGCCUAUAAGUCUUCAGAAGCUUGGCGAUGGCUUUCUUUGACUUUCUUUAUUGAUGACUGCCCAGAAGGGCCCACACCGGUGUGAGUGGUACAGGGGAUGCAGGGAACGCAAGCCCAGGCAACCCCCCUCCCACGAGCCUCCCUACAAUUCCAGCAGUCUGUCCUGCCCCCCUAUCUGGAGUAGCCAAGAACUUAGGUUUGUGCUGAGCAUUUUUGAAGAGGCAGCAGGAAGGCCAGAAGCACAUCCUGCUAUCACAAAAUAAUACUCCAUCUUUCAGGAUCGUGAAAAUUUGAGUUAUAAAUUACGUGAUACAGAUUCUAAAUUAUGCAAGACUUCACAAGAGGUCAGGUGAAGGCUGGAUGGCCUCAGAAGGAUGGCUUCAGAAGGCCUUCAGAAGGAUUGCUACAAUUCAUCAUGCACAAGGUGUUGAGGGUCUGGAGCAGGGAAGGAAUCGGGGGCAUCUGAAUGGAGAAAUGGGGACUUGAUGGAGGAUUCAUGAAAUGAUUUUUAGGAUACUUGAGGGCUUGGGAGGAAUACACACAGUCUGGAAAGUCCCCCUGCUUAAGGGUGCCACAAUCCAGCUCCCGGAGGCAUCCAGAUGAAGCAAAAGACCCUCACCACCUUGUGACAUAUAUUGCCACAACCCUUCUGAAAGCCUCCCUCAUCGGAAAAUCCAAAAUCUGAAAUGCUUCAAAUCUGAAGGUUUCUGAGCACCGACAAGACCCAAGUGGAAAAUUUCACACCGGACCUCAUUUGAUGCGUCACAGUCAAAACGUAGUCAAAGCUUUGUUACAUGCACAAAAUUCUUUAAAAUAUUGUAGAAAAUUA